rnacentral:lncRNA from 1 species
UUUUUUUUAGAAAAGGAGGCUAAGCCCCGGCCUCUGCAUCGAGUGAUGCAUGCAACCAUCUUUAUUACUUAUUCAAUAAAGGUCUGACAAGAACAUACAUCAAACCACCCGAAGCCCCCUCUCACACCUACAAACCGUGAUAAUGUGGAGUGCUCUCACUCCCCAUAUCUAAAUCAGAUGUCGUCUCCGAUUCAUCCACAUGACGUAUCGGAACUCACAGCCUGUGCAGCAGACCUAAAGCGUACACCACAUGCACACGUUUUAGAAGCCGCCAUCAUCAUCGAACCGUUGAACCAUCUUUAGGAGAGAGAUUCGCAUAAUCCUUGUCAG